UGUCAUGGUGGAGAGGGAGGGAAGGGGGU
rnacentral:piRNA from 1 species